ensembl:lncRNA
AAAUUGUUUUGAUUUUGGGUUAUUUUCUACGAUUUUCUACUCAAAGUGUUUAAGCAGUGUAAUAUAAAACAUAAAUAAUACUGACAAAAACAAAAUUACUGAAACAUUCAAAUUAAAACGGAAAUAUAUUAUUCAACAUGUUAAUAAAAGUUAAAAUAUGUGUUUUUAUUUAAUAAUUUAAUUAUUUUUACUUGGAGUGAACCGAAUACUUAAUUUUUUCAUAAAAUAAUAUUUAUCGACACAAUGCGUAUUUGUUUCUUUACUUAACGUUAAUCUUGCGUGUAAACGUCAGGUGACAGCGCUCGUCCAAUCACGCACUCGACUCCAGCGGCAAGCGCGCGCGCAGCGACAGAAAUGGCGGGCUUUUCUGAGUCAAAUAUUUCAAAGAAGUGUUUGAAUGGAAGAAAAGCAGUUAAUGUGUGAGACGGAUCUAAAAAGAGGCCGAAGGGCAACAGGAACCUCUCCAGAUAAGCAACUGUUCAUUCAAGACACAAAGCAGCACGAAAGGAGAAGUU